CUUCCUGUAGAAUUUCCGGUCUGGUCACACUCAUUCAGCAACAGCAGCACCACCACCACCACCAGCAGCAGCGGACAGCCCUGAGGAGGUAUUAGACCCUCCAUGCUGUCUUAAACCUUGCAUGCUUUUUGUCUGUUUUCCUGCCACUUCUAAGCCUGACUGUUGUCAGGGUCGGUGGCUUACAUCCAUUGUUAGCCCAGGGUCCCUCCUCUUAACUGACUGCUGGCUGGCCCUAGUCAGACCUACAGUUUGAUGCUGAGUGGCCUCUCUUCCGGUAUUAGUGGGGAGAAUAUCCUGCCUCACUGGAGUCCCCCACCCCCAGCGACUGAGAAUUCAUGCAGCUUGCCCAGUGGCUCCAGAGGCCAAGUCUCUCUCAUGUCUUUGGGCACCAACUGUUCUGAUCUCUUGAAGAGCUCCUCAGGCAACCUUCUGUUUCUAGCAAGAUGAUACACCCAAGCCUUGAUGACAAGGCUUGGCUCUCAACCUCCUUGCUCCCCACCUCCUGUGAAAUACACAAAGAAAUUCAGUGAUCAUCGGGGAUGCUCUGGUCCAAACACUACCUGCCAGCCAGACGCAGGAGAUGGAUGGCUCAGCAGUAAUCGUGCUGCUUGAGCUUGGUGUCUAAUGGGGACAGUAGUGACAGGAAGUUCACAGGGACUGGAAGACAUGAGUUCUCUGAGGGAAAGGAAGGUGAAGCCUGGUGCUUAGGACCCUCAGGAGACCAUAGGAUGUGAGAAGGCUCAAGACACCCAGAGGUGGGGUCAGAAACAGGGCAAAGGAGACCAAGCAUGGGAGAGCUGCAGUGGACGUGUACAGACAGGAGAAGCAGGCCCUAAAGAAUCCCUGAGGCGGCAGAGAGGCUGGGCUGUGGAACUUUUUAAUUACUUUGCAUUAGGGGACUGUAGAGACCCAGAAGCCCACCCUUCCCCUCCCCUCAUCAGCUUAGCCCCAACAUAUGGUGGCUACCAAAGUAGUUAAAUCGGCUCUUGGUAGAAAAGGAAAGAGAUUCCUCCCAGGCUCUUCCCAGGGUCCACGGCCACACUCCAGGAGGGCUCAACUCCAGGGCAAGGCAGCUGGGACAGCAGGCAGCUGAAGGAGGACUAUUACUGCACCUUAGGGAAGAGUGCAGUGGCGAGUGGGGAGGACUCUGCUGGGACCCGGGGGUCAUGUGCAUUCCCAUUUAGUUGAGCUCUGCUUAAUCCGGGCCUAGGCUCACAGUAAUGGGGAACGAGGAGAGGCUCCCAUCAGAGACCAAGAAGAUGACAGACUCUCUGUAAAGGCUGUCAGAGGGGUCUGCAUGACCAACCACACCUGCUCCUGUUCCUUUGGGGCUCUUGUGACCUCCCUGUCUUCUUGUGAGAUCUUAUGUUCCUCCAACCCUGAGAGCUACAAACCAAUCUCCGGAAUAAAAAAAUCUGUCCCUCG
rnacentral:lncRNA from 1 species